rnacentral:rRNA from 1 species
GAUUAACGCUGGCGGCGUGCAUAACACAUGCAAGUCGAACGAUGAAACUUUUUUGAUUUCUUCGGAAUGAUUAAAAGUGGAUUAGUGGCGGACGGGUGAGUAACGCGUGAGUAACCUGCCUUAGAGAAGGGGAUAGCCUUUGGAAACGAAGAAUAAUACCCUAUGAAACCAUAACCUCGCAUGAGGCCUUGGUCAAAGAUUUAUCGCUCUAAGAUGGACUUGCGUCUGAUUAGUUAGUUGGUGGGGUAACGGCCCACCAAGACAGCGAUCAGUAGCCGGCUUGAGAGAGUGUACGGCCACAUUGGGACUGAGACACGGCCCAGACUCCUACGGGAGGCAGCAGUGGGGAAUUUUGCACAAUGGGGGAAACCCUGAUGCAGCGACGCCGCGUGAUUUAGAAGGCCUUCGGGUUGUAAAAAUCUUUUCUAUGGGAAGAAAAUGACAGUACCAUAGGAAUAAGGACCGGCUAAUUACGUGCCAGCAGCCGCGGUAAUACGUAAGGUCCGAGCGUUGUCCGGAAUCAUUGGGCGUAAAGGGUACGUAGGCGGGUAAGCAAGUUAGAAGUGAAAUCCUAUAGCUCAACUAUAGUAAGCUUUUAAAACUGCUCAUCUUGAGGUAUGGAAGGGAAAGUGGAAUUCCUAGUGUAGCGGUGAAAUGCGCAGAUAUUAGGAGGAAUACCGGUGGCGAAGGCGACUUUCUGGCCAUAACCUGACGCUGAGGUACGAAAGCGUGGGUAGCAAACAGGAUUAUAUACCCUGGUAUGCCAAGGGCGAAUUCCACAGUGGAUAUCAAGCUUAUCGAUACCGUCGACCUCGAGGGGGGGCAAAAAUACACCAUCUUUUGUUCCCUUUAGUGAGUGGUUUAUUUAGUUG